UCUCUUCCCCCAUUUUCAACUUUUUUUUUUUUUUGUUGUGUUUUUUCGAAAGAAGCAAUUCGGAACCAUUACAUAACGGUGCGUAACAGGCCGUUACGGCCGUUACAGCACCGUUACGACCGCUAUAGCAGCCGCUGCGGCCGAUACACCUGUGAAUCUUAAUCACACUGCAAAAACGGCCGUAACGGGUGGCGGUAACUACCACAACCGUUACGUAACGGUUGCGGCCGUUUUUUAAAACCUUAGCGCCAACUUAAAAUUUUGCACGGGAGCGCUAAAAAUGUUUUCGCGACCAAAUUAAUAUAUGGCGACAAAACUUUUAGUCGCCAAUUGUAAAUUUUUGGCGACAAAAUAGUCACUAAAAGGUGAACGAUAUUUAUGGCAACAUAAUGAUUUUUGUCGCCAAUAAAUUAGGGGUCAAAACGGCGUUGUUUUAAAUCAUUUUUUUUUUUUUUUUUUUUUUUUUUUUUUGGGUGUCAACAAAGCAAGGACUAACCUAAUAUUCAUCUCAUUCUCUCACUCCACAACCUCAAGCGGCACAGCAGAAGACACAGAGGUAUGUCUUCUCUCCUUCUUCUUCUUCUUCUUCUUCUUCUUCUUCGUCUCUCUCUCCCUCUCCCUCUUAUUCUCUCACAUUGCCUCAUCUUCCUCUUUUUCUUCUUUGUUUUCAAUUUGAUUCUCUUGUUCGGCAUGGCAGAACACAGCACAACACUGAUUUUUGGGACUGAUAUUAUGAUUUUGGGACUAUUUGUGGGAUAGAUAUUUUGAUUUUGGGGCUGAUAUUCUGAUUUUGAAUUUUUUUGGGACUGAUAUUUUGAUUUUGGGACUGAUUUUGGGACUAAUAUUCUGAUUUUGGGACUGAUUUUGGAACACAGCACGACACUUCAUUGUUUGUUGUUAUGUUGUUUUAAUUAGUUCAAGCAUUAAUAAAUAAACAUAUAUAACAUGUUUUGAGGAUGUUCUGUUUUCUACACUGACCAAGUUGAAGCCUAGAGCUAAACAUCUAGAGUACAUUUUUUUUCUUCUAUCUUUUAAUUGGUUACACUUAUUGAUUGCAUGAAAUUUUAUCACUUUUAGAAGAAAAUUAUUUGGUGCAGCAGUUCUACAAAUUUAGAAGAAGAAAAAAAAAUGUGGCUGCUGUUCUGGUCUGUGCUGCAGUUCUACACUUAGAAGAAGAAAAAAUGUGGCUGCAGUUCUACACUUACUGAUUUAUUUUAUUUUAUUUUUUUUUUUUUUGUGCUCUGUGUUGCGGCUGUUCUGGGCUUUUUUUGGGCUGUUUUUGCUACUGUUUCUGGGCUGUUUUGGACUCUGUUUUGGGCAUGUUUUGUGCUUGAUUCUUCACCUGUUUAAACACCAUUUGCACUCCAAAAAUAUGGUUAAACACAAGGAGAAUUUAAGGAUUAUAAUGAUUUAUUUAAAUAUUAAGUUUUCAAUUCUAAUCCAAAUUUCAAAAUAAAUCAAAACAUAAUCAAAAACAGUUAAUCUGUGUUUGUAAUUGUUACACAAGCUUGCAUCUUAUGUAAUAACUUGAGGACAGUGACUUCGGCGGGUUGAGAAUGGUAUCAUGCUACAAUGUCAUUACAUCUUGGUGAAUAGUGAUAUACCUAAAUUUUGCUUCUUUCUGAUAUUUGUGUAGAUGAACAUGACUUUAUGCAUCAGAUUUGUUAGGCAAGUGGGUCACUGGUUAAAGGGUUGAAUGUGGCCUUCGAACCCAGCUGUUGAAUCAAGAGCCUAAUAUUUCUUACCUCAUAACUUGGGCUAUUAUUCAUUAGAGAGUGUAUUCUGUUGUAUAGUUUGAGUGCAUUAUAUUGUAAAAAUUAUCUCUUUAUGAAAUUAAAUGCAAGAAUUGUUUGAGCUAUACUUUUUAAGGAUUAGUGUUUUGAUGCCCAUCAAUAUAGUUAUAAAUUUGAUCCUGUUUCAAAAUUCUAUCAUCAUGUUAAUUGUUCAUUUGUGGUAAAGUUUUCUUAUUAAGGGUUUUACUUCUUUUGGCAACGCGAUUAUAAUUUUGAAGAAUAAAAAUCAUACGACUUAAUGUUGACAUGAUGAGAAAUAAGGCAUUAGUUUCAUCUUUUAAAGAAAUUAGCUAAAACUAUUUCUGAUUUAGAGUCUUGUUGGGGGAGAGCUUGUCCAUGCUUUGCUUAUCCAAGUAAUAUACUGCACUUCUCUGGCAGUCAGUGGUUUCUAGUUCUGAUUAUAUGACAAGGGUUUUGUGCUAUGACAGAUUCAGAAGCUGAAGUUGGAUAUUGAGACAUGAGUAGACUGAGUUGUUUUCUUUGUUUAGAAGUCAAUUCUCUUUGGUAUUCAAGUCAUUUCAUUGUUUAAGUUCCUGACUACCAUCUUCUAACAGGGCAAUGCUUGAACUAGACCAGAUUCUUAAGGCCAAUGAAAUCGAUUUUGCUAUUCUAGCUGCUUUACCAGCUUUCUUUCUCGCCCUGUCUUUUGCUGAUGUUAGUGCGUGCGUGGUUAAAACAGGAUACUAGAGCAGAAGGUCGGGGAAGGAUUGCUCGACUCCAAAGAAGGUUUCUUAUUGUGGAGGUUGAGAAAAGAAUUAUGCAGUUUCAAAUUUGCAUAGAUCAAGGAUUGAUUGGCAAUGGUGGAAACUAGUUCGGGCUACAUCAGAAGAUUUGAUUUUGUAUUUUUGGAAAUAUUUUGACGUAGGAUUUUGGUAAAUAACUCAUGGGUUAGAUGUUUAGCAUCAAAAUAUUUGAUUUUGUGUUUUUGCAAAUAUCUUGACAUAGGAUUUUGGUAAAUGACUUGUGGGUUAGAUGUCUAGUAUCAAAAUAUUUGGUUUUGUAUUUUUGAAAAUAUUUUGAUAUAGAAUUUGGUAAUGGAUUUGUGGGUUUGAUGUUAAUAAUUUGUAAGUACUUUGGUAUGAAUGUUUCAGAUUGAUAGAGAAUUAUAAUUAUGCUUAUUGGGAUGUUUAAUAGUUAUUAAUUUUGAAUUAUUAUGAAUGUCUUGCACAGGUGUAUUUCUAUUUACAUUGCAUUUGUGUAUAUAUUGUGUAUAGAAAAACAGGUGUUUUGAAUUAUUUUGAACAGAAAAAUUAUUAAAAUUCAAAUUUGUAUAGUGAAUUUUUAGUGACAGGUGAUAUUUUGGUCGCUAUUAAUAUAUUUGGCAACAACAUAUUGUUUUGUUGCUAAAAGUUAGUGGAUAUUCCAAGAACAUUUAGCAACCGAAACUUAGUUGUUGCUAAAAAGUUGAUUUUUAGCGACCAAAUUAAUUGUCACUAAAUAGUACUUUUGGCGACAAAUUUAUUUGUCGCUAAAACUACAUAGCCUAUCCAAAUCUUAAUCUUUUAGCGACAAAUUAGAAUUUUAGAGCGACAAAAUAUAUGAUUUUUGGCGACCAAUUUUGCUUGUCGCUAAAUGUCUACAUACAGUGACAAUUUAUUAUUUGGUCGCCAAUACUUUUAGUGAGAGGCCUUUGGCAACCAAUUGGGUACUUGUUGCUGAUUCUUUUGGCAAUGAAAUUUGUACUUUUGGCGACCAAUUUUUUGGUCGCCAAAUGUGCUUUUUGUUGUAGUGGACAUUGCCAAUUAUUUGGCAUUCUAACACUUGCACCCGGCACACACUACCCUUGCACCCCGCACAACAUACACUUGCACUCGCUAGAUUUUUUCUGAUCUCUAUUCCAUUCACUAUCUAUCAAAUCAUUUCAUGCAAAACAACCAUGUUUUUCAGGUUUUUCAUGUCCGCUACUAUAAUGUCAAUGUUGGACUUGUGUUUUCAUUCCUUGUACAUAUAUCCUUAUUGGAUGUCCAUUUUGUAAAAUGGUGAGUUCAUAUGUGCAUCUUUGUUGUGAUGGUGUGUUCAUAACCAAAAUGAGUCAAAUUUAUUCAAUUUCUAUCCAAUUUAAUAUGGAAUUUAUGUUUUCAAUUCAUUACAAUUGCCAUGUGUUUAUUCCAUCCUCUUAAUUGUCAUGGUCUAUGCAUAGACAUUGCCAAAUUAUUGGGCGUUCUAACACUUGCAUCCCACGCAGACAACACUUGCACCCCCUAAAUUUUUUCAAAUCUCCAUUCCAUUGACUUUCCAUCCAAGCAUUUCAUUUAAAACAAUCAUGUUUUUCAAUUUUUUUCAUAUUUGAACUGCCAUGUCAAUGUUGGACUUGCAUUUUACCCAUUCAUUCCUACAUGUGCACUUGCAUCCCACACAGAUUACACUUGCACCCCAUGAAAUUUUUACCAAUCUCUAUCCCAUUGACUUUCCGUCGCAACUUGUUUCGUCCAAAACAACCUAUCCCUCUUACAGUAUAUUUUCACCUUUUAUGGAAAAUAUUUGUGGCUCAAAUAAGUUUAUUUUCGUUGACUUGUAAAAAAAAAUAAUUUCUUUUUUGGUUAAACUUUCAUGUCCAUCAUUCAAACACCAGAAAAAUACAAAAAGAAAAAAAAAAAUGUCUCUCUAAAACAAACGGACCAUUGAAUCGUUGAAUGUGUUGCUUUAAAUGCAUAAGAAAUAGCUAAAAGAGAGAGAGGAGAAAUGUUUGCAAUUUUAUCCACAUUCUUUAAAAUGUUGCUUCCCUUAUUUUUCUCAUAGUUUACCUCUAGAGACCAAAUGAAUCCUUGAUACUACAACUUGAAAACUAUUCAAGUAUGUUGUUGAGACAUUGGACAAUGCAGAGAGCCUGAAAUUGUAGUAUCGUUCGCUUGCUAAGGUUUCAGAUAAUCCAUCUUCAAAGCUAUCCGCACUUACCAAUACGACGCCGAACUGGCUUUGGAGUUGCAGUGAACAAGAUGAGUCGAAGUUAGGUAGCUAUAAUUUGUUGCGGUUAUGUGACUUUGCAUAUAGAGUUAAUCUAACUUUACUGGUCAUGAAGCUUUCUUGUAAUAUUUGUGUUGUAUUCCUUACAUUUAGGCUUUCUAAAAUGUAGAAGUUGCAUGUGAUUUGAUUUGAGAAACCCUAGAAUAAGACUUGAGAUACGAGAUAUGAAUUAUGUAAUCAAUUUUGUUUGUAAUAUC